rnacentral:rRNA from 1 species
UACGUAGGGUGCGAGCGUUAAUCGGAAUUACUGGGCGUAAAGUGUGCGCAGGCGGCCGAGCAAGUCGAGUGUGAAAGCCCCGAGCUUAACUUGGGAACUGCGCUCGAAACUACUUGGCUAGAGUGUGGCAGAGGGAGGUGGAAUUCCACGUGUAGCGGUGAAAUGCGUAGAGAUGUGGAGGAACACCGGUGGCGAAGGCGGAUCUCUGGGCCGAUACUGACGCUGAGGAGCGAAAGCGUGGGGAGCGAACAGG